AGUUUAGGUAGAAUCACAUGACACUUAAUUCAAAAUGGCGCCGCCCGCACCUCCCACAGGCGAAGGGGAGUACACAGAGGGAACAGCGGCGCAGACUGCGAGUGUACCAGCAGCUGAGGGUGGUGUCCAGUCAUGGGAGCGGCCUUGGACUGUGGGAGAGAUCAGGAAGGAGGCCAACAACUGGUCACUGGCUGGGGAUGCAGGACUGCUUCAGUACCUGCAGGAGUUCUCUCAGAGGGUGAUAUCCCGGACACAUGAGAUCGGGAAGGAAGUGGAUGGCCUUGUACAUGAGGCCAAGUUGACUGGGGUUCGAGUCAACAAUGUCUUCAAUGACUUCAUCAUGCUGGCAAAUACUCAGUUUGUGGAAAAUAGAGUGUAUGACGAGGAUGUUAGUCAUGCGAACCAGGAAGAGGAAAGGAAGCCAGACCAAGAGGAGAAGACCAGAGAACAGCGUGAAGCAGCGCUGAUACCCAAAGUCACUGAGGCUCUUCGAUAUGGCACAAAUGUCAUAGAUGAGGCAUUUGAGAGACUGGACACCAACAUUGGUGACUCUGACUCGGAGGAUGAGGAGGGGGGAUACCGUGCGGACCCCAUCCUGGAGGCCAAGGAUCCAUACGUGACCCGCUACUUGCCUUUGUUGAUCGGCAGUCCGGGAUUCUUGGAGGAUGAUAAUGUCGGCCUUGUGGAGGAUGUCUCAGGAGGAGAGGAGACAGAUCAUGGCAGCAUCAGCGAGAGUGAGGCUGAGAGGUCCGAGACAGAGUCCGACUCUGAGGUUGAGGAGAGGAAGAGAAGCAAGGCCCGUCGUGCCACCCGUGUAUCGGACGACUCUGAUGAGACAGAGAGUGAGGAUGAUGAUGAGGAGAGUGAUGAAGACAUGUUCAGCACCAAACACAAGAAGCAUGUCGAUGAUGACAGCGAUGACGAUGGCGACGGGAGUGAGGAGGCAACCAGCUCGGAGGAGGAGAAGGGUGACGAGGAAGACACAGAGAAGCCUGGUGCUCCUGCUGGGGGUGGAGGGCGGGACUUUGCUUCUGAGUUGGCUGCCAGGAUAGGAGCUGCUGUUCCCAAACCCUCUCCUGCUGCUGCUGCCGACGACGAUGAUGAUGCAGAGCGGGAGGUUGAAGAACAACCCAAACAGACUGCUAGGAAAAAGACUGGUAAGAAAGAAAAGAAACACAAGACAAAAGCGAAGCAAGUCAAGGCUGAUGAUGAAGAUCUGUUCAGUGCCCCUGCUGGUGGUGAGGAGGAUGAGAACACACCGUUCGGGAAGUCUGGUGGAUUGUUCACCAGCAGCAAGGGUCUGUUUGAUGAUGACGAGCAGGAAGACUCCGGUGGCCUGUUUGAUGAUGUGGAGAAGCCAGCCAGGAGACAGUCCAAGAAGGUGGUGCAGGAGUCUGAGGAAGAAGAAGAAGAGGAAGAGGAGGAGGAAGAACCAGUUAAAGACACCAGACCACGGACAGCGAGUGGGAAGAGACUGCCCAGAGGAGCUGUGUCCAUAUUUGGAGAUGGUGACUCGGGACUGUUCGGCAGUUCCAUCAAGGAGGAGGACGAGGCCCCGGCACCAAGGAAACCCUCCAAGUCGAAACCUGCAGCAGCGGCAGCCAGUGUAGGAGGAGGGCUGUUUGAUGAGGAGGAAGACGAAGGGGGGGAUCUGUUUGCUGCAGUUCCCUCCAACAAGACACAGCCAAAGAAAGAAAAAAUAGCAAAGACAACAUCAGCGCCGAAGGUUUCCAAGGCAUCGAGUGACCUGUUUGCUGACCAGGACGAGGACGAAGAGGGGGAUCUGUUUAUGGGUCAGUCGGCCGCUAGUACACGUAAAAUGUCUGGACCCAAAGCAGAGGAGGUUAAACCCAAGGCCAAGAAGACAGAAAAGAAGUUGCCAGCAGGGGCGGUAUCCAUGUUUGGGGGAGCUCCAAAUCCCCUCGCUGCAGCCAUCAAGAAACAACGACCAGCUUCAGAUAGCGAGGAAGAUGAAGAGAGAGAAGAUGAAGAAAAGUCUCGAAGUGGCAGCGUGAAGUCCAGCCAGUCAGCAUCCAGCUCCUCGCUACGUGGGUCAACUGAUGUGAAGAAAACAUCGCGAAGUGGCUCUGCAUCCAGCAACAGUUUGUUUGCAGAUGACAUCGAUGAGGAUCUCUUUUCUUCCAAACCAAAGACAGACAGCAGUAAAGCCAGCAAGCCAAAGACUACUGCCGCUGCCUCAGGUCUCUUCCUGGAUGAUGAGGAGAAACAAGACGAUCUGUUUGGUGCAGCAAGCAAGCCCACAGCCAAACCUACACAAGAUAAGAAGGGAGACAAAGCAAAGCCGAGGUCCAGCAGCCUGUUUGAUGAUGAUUUAGAAGACGAAGAAGAUAUGUUCUCGUUCAAGUCAAAACCCAAAGACAGCAGUGGAGGCAAGAAGAAGCCUGUUGGUGGGGUGGCACUGUUUGGGGGUGCUGACAUUCUGAAGAAGAAGACCGAAACCCCUGCAGAGGAGCCUGCCAAGGCCACCCCUGAGGAAGAGAAGCCGGAUGUGAAACCCAUACCCCGCAAGUCCACACUGUCAUUGUUUGAUGAGGAUGUCGAAGAUGCAGAUUUGUUUGGUGCAGCACCAAAACCUAAACCAGCAGCCAGCACUGCCAAGAAAGAGCAGAGCAAGCCCAAGGCUGGUGGCAAGAGCCUGUUUGAGGAUGAGGAUGUUCUGUUUGGUGGGGCCAGUGAGGAGGCACCAGGAGUGGACCUCUUCAGUAAACAGGGACCUCUGGGAGGCUCGUCUAAAGCUGAACCAGCUACAGCAGCCCCUUCUGCUAAGCCAUCAGUGAAAGUUGGAGGGGCCACAACCAAGUCUAGCUCCACAGACCUGUUUGAUGAUGAUGAUGAUGGCUUAUUUGACACCAAGAAAGACAAGCCCAAGGAGAAGGUGGAGGUAGCUGGGGCCACUACAACAGAGUCAUCUGAUGCAGGACCACCAGCUGCUGAGGAGGAGGCCAAGCCAGCAGCACCCCCAGCCGUCACCAAGCCCAGGAAACCAGCAGGGGCAGUGUCCAUGUUUGGAGGAAUGGACCCUUCAGCUCUGCUCAAGAAGAAGAAGAAACCUGUGGAAGAGGAAGAAGACAAACCAGCAGAGCAAGAAAAGAAACCAGAGGAGAAGAAAAAAGCUGACCCUCUGUUUGGCGAUGCCGAUGAUGGCAAAGGUGGAGCUGACAUCUUCACUGUGGUUGCCCCGAAGCCCAAGCCUCCUGCUGCAGCACCCAAGCCAGCAGCAUCUCAAGAUGAGGACAAGUCAGAAGAGGAUUCAAAGGCCCAGCAGGAGGCUCCCAAGCCCACCCGUCCUAAGCUGGCUGGUGCGGUGUCCAUGUUUGGAGGGAUGGACCCAGGAGGUUGGUCUGGUCAGAAGAAGAUGAUGCCCACCAGGCAGAUCUCUGAGGAUAACAAAGUGCCACUGCCUCCAGAUCUUCCUGACGUCGACCAGCCUGCAGCCUCUAGUUCAGCUCCUGGUAAAAAACGUCCUGGAAAAAUAGGGAAACUUCAGGGAGGUCUCGGUAUCAACCCCGCUGCGUUACUUCCGGGGGCAGCGCCGCCUCGGGCAGCAGAGAAUCAACUAGCUGUGGGCUUCAGCGAACCACCGGAGACUACAGUGCUACCUAGUGCUUCAAAGGACCGAGUGAGGAUUAUCACCAGACGCAGGCCCCAGAGUCGAAAGGCUCGGCACUCUGCCGCCCUCUCAGGUGUUUUUGAUGACUUCUCCCCAACUAUGUCACCAACAUCCCCAACAGAACCCAACCCCAUUGCUCAAAUUGAUGGCAAGGAUUCCAGCCCUCCAAAAACUGAGACUCGAUCAGAUUUAUUUGGAAAUGAUGACAUUCUUGGAGACUCCUCCAAAUCAGCUCCAGUGUUAACGGAGGACAAAUCUGGUGAUAAGGAUUUGUUUAGUGAUGGACUAUUUACCAAGAGUGGUAGCACAAAGCCAUCAGACUCUGUAGAUGGACUCUUUGAGUCUUCAGGGAAAAGUGAGAAGAAGGCCCCUGUAGCUGCUGCUGAUCUGUUUCCCUCCAAGCCUUCAUCAGUGAGUGGACAGGAAAAGAAGGUGACACCAGUUGAUAAUGAGGAAGACUUGUUCGCAUCAACACCUAAGCCAUCUAAGCCAGCAGAUAAAGAAUCCAAGACCGACAGUAGUAGCAAGAAGGAAGAGAAGAAAGCCAAGGUUGUGGAUGACGACGACAUCUUUGCUGAUGCCAGUAUUAACAAGAAAAAAGAAUCAAAGAAACCUCCUGCUGAGUCCAGUGAUGACAUAUUUGGAGACAGUUCAGCAUCCAAGAAACCCUCCCAGAAACCGGCUCCGGGGAAUGAGGAAGACAUCUUUGCUACAUCAGCACCAGCAGAGAAGAGGAGGCCGAAAAAAGCCAGUGUGAAGGACGAGGCCCUAUUCAAGGAUGAGACCGACAUCUUUGCUGACAUUCCCGCCUCCAAGCCCAAGGAGCCCAAGAAGAAGAAGAAGACGACCGAGAAGAAGAGCAUAUUCAAGGAUGAUAUAGAUGACAUCUUUGCAGACUCCUCCCCAGUGUCGACCAAGUCUAAGAAGGAUACCAAGAAAAAGACAAAAGAUACAGGAAAGCCCAGUGAUGAUGAUGUUGACAUAUUUGAAGACCCCCUUGGGGGAGCCAAGUGAUGGCAUCAACAUGAGUGAUGGAUACAUUGUUAUAUUAUGUUAUCAUUUGUAUAGUAAGAUUAUUUUGUACAGAUUAGGUUGUUUUUAUGCGGGUCAGACAGGAAAGUACAAGAAGAAAAUACAAAAACAAUAUUUUACAAACACAUGUACAGAGAUAUUUCGUUGUUAUGAGACUGACCCCCUUCCCCUAAAAAAGAAUGAACAAGUUGAAAUGCUAAUGUGUAUUAAAUGUUUAUAGGAACCAUGAUUAUUCUGUCCCUUACCAGUCUCUUUGAAGGCCAUACUGCACACUGAAAUACUCUGCAUUGAAGUAUUAAUGCCCAUACACAUUUGUCAGCAGAGAUCCUUUGAUAUCCAAAAUGCCAAGGUGACCUGGUGCACUUUUUUCAACUGAACUAUCUCUACAGAAAAUGAGUUUCAUGCUGGUCGAUUGUAGUGUGUUUCUUAUUUCUAAAUUAUUUGACAACAUUUGUAGUUUAUGGAAGAACUUCUAUCAUCUUGAUUUAGAUUUUUGUAAGAACUAAACUACAUAAGAAAGAGCAUUUAUGUAUCUCAACUUUAUAUGAGGACCUCCACCUUUUGGGGGAUAUACUUACUUCUUCAUCACCCGAUAUACUUCGAAAUGUUGUGUUCCUCAUAAUAAAGAAGUUGACAUACAUAAAUUCUUCUUCAUUAUUUGUAUCACUUCGAAAGGCCAUUCAAAGACUUGUGAGUUACAUGUACAUGUAUUUAGUUCCUGUUGUGUUUUUCAUCAAAUCAUGCAUGUGAAAUUGAUCAGAGUGGAUGAAGGUUUAAAUCUUUCUGACAGGCAGUAAAUGGUGUCAUUUACAGAUGUCUAUGCUUCAUGUUACUGCUAAUUCUUACAAUCCAAUCAUUAGUUAUGGUUUCCAUGUUGUGUAUCUGCUAGAUGAACAGAUGAUGGGGUGAAUGCAUCUUCUGAAACACUAGAGGAAAUGAUUUGCCCAAGACAGCAGGGCAGGAAGUGUACCCUUGUUGUUUUUUGUUUAAUGCCACACUCAACAGUAUUCCAUCGACAUGACAACAGUCUGUAAAUAAUCGAGUGUGGACCAGACAGUCCAGUGGUUGACAUCAUGAACAUCAUAUCAACUGGAACAGGAUGUGUUAGCACUUGGACAGGAGGUGUAUCCUGUGGAAUAGGAGAUAUGUCCACUGGGACAGGAGAUGUGUGCACUGGGACAGGAGGUGUAUCCACUUGGACAGGAGGUGUAUCCACUGGGACAGGAGGUGUAUCCACAAGGACAGGAGGUGUAUCCACUGGGACAGGAGAUAUGUCCACUGGGACAGGAGGUGUAUCCACUGGGACAGGAGGUGUAUCCACUGGGACAGGAGGUGUAUCCACUGGGACAGGAGGUGUAUCCACUGGGACAGGAGGUGUAUCCACUGGGACAGGAGGUGUAUCCACUGGGACAGGAGGUGUAUCCACUGGGACAGGAGAUAUGUCCACUGGGACAGGAGGCGUAUCCACUGGGACAGGAGGUGUAUCCUCUGGGACAGGAGGUGUAUCCACUGGGACAGGAGGUGUAUCCACUGGGACAGGAGAUGUGUGCACUGGGACAGGAGGUGUAUCCACUGGGACAGGAGGUGUAUCCACUGGGACAGGAGGUGUAUCCACGGGGACAAGAGGUGUAUCCACUGGGACAGGACGUGUAUCCACUUGGACAGAAGGUGUAUCCACUGGGACAGGACGUGUAUCCACUGGGACAGGACGUGUAUCCACUGGGACAGAAGGUGUAUCCACUGGGAGAGAAGGUGUGUUCAUCAGGGCACAGGUUUGUUGACCAGCAUGCAUCUCUGAUCAGAAUAACUGUGAGACAUGUUUCGGCAGGAGAAAGUUGCUCUGUGACUUGGACAAAGAUCAUGAGGAGAAAUAUGGAGACUUUCUGUGUUUGGCAUUGAUGGUGUCUUGUUUUAAACUUAACAUAUAGUGGUUUCAACAUAAUAAACUUGUUAAGAAUAGUUGUAUUCAAUUAUAACAAGUUGUGUGGUGCUAUUAUCAGGUAGAUUCGUAUCAAGCGAAUAUACCUUCAAGCUUUGCAAUGAAGCUGGCAUGGACAGACUGUAUAAUUGUUUGGGGGUUGAAAUGGAAAAAUAAGUGUUACAUAUAUAAGUAAUUGUAUACACACAUCCAACCCUGUGAGCAAAAAAAAAAUAUGUGGCUCUGUGGAAUAUUACCUCAGAAUUCGAGAUUUAUCAUCAAGACUGAUUUGAGUUGUAAGAUGUGCACAAAUACUGUUGGUCUUGAAGGAUUAUUAUGGAAGGUAAUCUUAUGACCGGUAAAUACAUAACAGAACAAUUAAUGCUGUAUAUCUGAUCUAUAAGAGACAUUGAGUGCAAUAAAUGCCUUUAUAUGAUA
rnacentral:misc_RNA from 1 species